rnacentral:lncRNA from 1 species
UUUGUACAAUAACAGAGUUUUACAAGGAUAUACAUGCAAAUAUUAAUUUUGAAAGGAUAUUCAUGCAAAAUCUAAUAUUUAGAAGGGUAUCCAUGCAAAAAAGCCCUUAAAAACAAUAUGGUUAAUAUUCAUGUUCGACCAUGCAUAUAAAUAAGGAUUCUUUGUACAUAAACAUUUACAAAUCUAACUUAUUGAAUAUCCACCCCGAAAGUAACUAUUUACAUACGCACCCCUCAAACAUCCUGGUUUUACAUGGAUGCCCCUCCUAUUAGAUGUUUGGCUAACAAUUCUAAUAAAUAACCCUUCCGAAUAUCAUUUGGCAUAAUUAUCCU